GCUGUGAAGCUAGAUAAGUAGUGAAGGAAGUUAUGAAGCUGCACCGUGAGAACCGGCUUUCUCAAGUAGAACUUAAUUGGUAGUAAGAUUAUGCAGCUUCAUCCACCUCCACAUUCAUCCACCUUCCUCAACCUCCUCCACAACCUCCCCAAAGUGGCUUUGGAGGCCAAAGAUGCAAUGGAAUGAGUGAGAAACAGAAAAGCUCUGGUUUCAUGCUGAUGGGGAUAACAGCCCAAAAA